CAGUAGCCACGGUAGACAGAGGAUGCAAGCGUUAUCCGGAAUGAUUGGGCGUAAAGCGUGCGCAGGCGGUUAUAUAAGUCAGAUGUGAAAUCCCCGGGCUCAACCUGGGAACUGCAUUUGAGACUGUAUGGCUAGAGUGUGUCAGAGGGGGGUAGAAUUCCACGUGUAGCAGUGAAAUGCGUAGAUAUGUGGAGGAACACCGAUGGCGAAGGCAGCCCCCUGGGCCAAUACUGACGCUCAUGCACGAAAGCGUGGGGAGCAAACAGGAUUAGAUACCCCGGUAGUCCCUGUCUCUUAUACA
rnacentral:rRNA from 1 species